AGUGAACGCUGGCGGUAGGCCUAACACAUGCAAGUCGAACGGCAGCACAGUAAGAGCUUGCUCUUACGGGUGGCGAGUGGCGGACGGGUGAGGAAUACAUCGGAAUCUACUUUUUCGUGGGGGAUAACGUAGGGAAACUUACGCUAAUACCGCAUACGACCUACGGGUGAAAGCAGGGGAUCUUCGGCCCUUGCGCGAUUGAAUGAGCCGAUGUCGGAUUAGCUAGUUGGCGGGGUAAAGGCCCACCAAGGCGACGAUCCGUAGCUGGUCUGAGAGGAUGAUCAGCCACACUGGAACUGAGACACGGUCCAGACUCCUACGGGAGGCAGCAGUGGGGAAUAUUGGACAAUGGGCGCAAGCCUGAUCCAGCCAUGCCGCGUGGGUGAAGAAGGCCUUCGGGUUGUAAAGCCCUUUUGUUGGGGAAGAAAAGCAGCAGGUUAAUACCCCGCUGUUCUGACGGUACCCAAAGAAUAAGCACCGGCUAACUUCGUG
rnacentral:rRNA from 1 species